CCUACGGGAGGCAGCAGUGGGGAAUAUUGGACAAUGGGCGCAAGCCUGAUCCAGCAAUGCCGCGUGAGUGAUGAAGGCCUUAGGGUCGUAAAGCUCUUUUACCAGGGAUGAUAAUGACAGUACCUGGAGAAUAAGCUCCGGCUAACUCCGUGCCAGCAGCCGCGGUAAUACGGAGGGAGCUAGCGUUGUUCGGAAUUACUGGGCGUAAAGCGUACGUAGGCGAUUAUUCAAGUCAGAGGUGAAAGCCCGGGGCUCAACCCCGGAACGGCCUUUGAAACUAGGUAGCUAGAAUCUUGGAGAGGUCAGUGGAAUUCCGAGUGUAGAGGUGAAAUUCGUAGAUAUUCGGAAGAACACCAGUGGCGAAGGCGACUGACUGGACAAGUAUUGACGCUGAGGUACGAAAGCGUGGGGAGCAAACAGGAUUAGAUACCCUGGUAGUCCACGCCGUAAACGAUGAUAACUAGCUGUUCGGGCACUUGGUGCUUGAGUGGCGCAGCUAACGCAUUAAGUUAUCCGCCUGGGGAGUACGGUCGCAAGAUUAAAACUUAAAUGAAUUGACGG
rnacentral:rRNA from 1 species